CCUANGGGUGGCUGCAGUCGAGAAUUUUCCGCAAUGGGCGCAAGCCUGACGGAGCGACGCCGCGUGGAGGAAGAAGGCCCUCGGGUUGUAAACUCCUGUCACGACUUACGAAAUCGCAAGGUGUAACAUCCUUGCGCUGACGAAGGGUCGGAAGGAAGCCACAGCUAACUUCGUGCCAGCAGCUGCGGUAAGACGAAGGUGGCAAGCGUUGUUCGGAUUCACUGGGCAUAAAGGGCGCGUAGGCGGUUCCGAAAGUGGCAUGUGAAAUCCUCUGGCUCAACCAGAGAAGUGCGUGCCAAACUUCGGUUCGCGAGGAUGGUAGGGGGGACUGGAACUCUCGGUGGAGCGGUGAAAUGCGUAGAUAUCGAGAGGAACACCGGUGGCGAAGGCGAGUCCCUGGUCCAUCUCUGACGCUGAGGCGCGAAAGCGUGGGUAGCAAACAGGAUUAGAUACCCUANUANUC
rnacentral:rRNA from 1 species